UACAGAGGGUGCAAGCGUUGUUCGGAAUUAUUGGGCGUAAAGCGCGUGUAGGCGGCGCAGCAAGUCGGGUGUGAAAGCCCUCAGCUCAACUGAGGAAGUGCACCCGAAACUGAGUAGCUAGAGUACUAAAGAGGGUCGCGGAAUUCCCGGUGUAGAGGUGAAAUUCGUAGAUAUCGGGAGGAACACCGGUGGCGAAGGCGGCGACCUGGGUAGAUACUGACGCUGAGGCGCGAAAGCGUGGGGAGCAAACAGG
rnacentral:rRNA from 1 species